rnacentral:rRNA from 1 species
GGGUCCGGACACACUGAGGAUUGACAGGCAAAAGAUACAAGUUUUCUUUGAAAGCUUGCAUUGUAAAAUAUGCGAGUCCUUUCAUGAUUAUGUGAUAGGUGGUGCAUGGCCGUUCUUAGUUCGUGGAGUGAUCUGUCUGCUUAAUUGCGUUUCACAACGAUUUAAAAUGCUAUGUUUUCUGUGUUUGCUGUUCGGUUUUGCUCUUACGGGAGUUUUAACUUUGAACGCACACGGCGUAGCUUAAAACAAUCGGAAAGCAACGAACGUGACCGCAACCUCUUGUUGCCUUUAUUUUUAAAAGCGUGGAAAAUUUUAUAUUUUCUUACGCUUGAAAAAGGCUUUAAAACUAGAGGGACCGCUGUUCUAUUCUCUUAAACCAGAGGAAGAUUGCGGCAAUAACAGGUCUGUGAUGCCCUCAGAUGUUCCGGGCUGCACACGUGCUACAAUGAUUGUUGCAGUGAGCAUCUAUUUUCAAACGCUACCGUUGCGGAUUUUGUGAGAAGGGAGUUUGUUUUAAAGCUUUCGGGUGGAGAAGCAGGUUCUUUUUUUUUACAAUUUAUUCCGCGUUACGUGUCAGCUAAACCUGCUUCGAAAGCAAGUAGGU